AAGACCAAACUCUUAAACUUUCUCUCGAAACUCAGUGUCUUCUUCUCGGUCAUGUUAUCUGGUCCUUUCUUCAUGGCUCACACCGGAAAAACCUAUAAUCGUCGUCGUCCAUGGCCACCGAAGUUGAAUCUCCUGGACGUCUCUGCACCGUUUCUCUAAGGAAGAAGAAGCCUCCCAGUUCUCUCGGCAAAGAUGCUCACAAGUACACACCCUAAGGUUUUUAAUUCUUAGAUCAAGUGUUCGUACGAUUCAUAUUUAGUUUGUUUCGGUCUCAAAAGUAUUUCUUAUAGUGUGUUUGAUUGGAAAUUUGACAAUUUUAUAUAUUAGCAAGAUGCUUUAUAUUCAGUUAAAAGAAGGUUCGAGCUUCAGAAAAUAGUGGCUGCUUUCCUCAACCUUAAAGCUCGAUGAGCAUCUUCUCAGUCGCCUUGUAUCACGUUAUCGUGAACCUGUGUCAAUGCUCUCCAUAGAAGAAUCUCUCUACUAAAUAAAAUAAAGGAGUCAGGUUCUAGGGAGCUAUGCUUCUUGAGUUCGAAGCAAAUAAAGAAGUCAAGUUUUCCUAAGCGACUCAGGACAAGCUGCUCCACAGCUAUAUCACUGGCAUAUAAAGCAUCCAGAGAGUCACAGACAAGUCCAAUACUUUUUCAUCAGAGUUCUCCAUACCAAUCAUGACACGCAUCCUUGACUUCACAGACAAACUUGCACAGAAGAUCACUGAAGCGGUUAAGUUCAUUGUUGUUUAACAACACUUCUCCAAGCGGUUAAGUUCAUUGUUGUUAACAUUUGAUUAGUCCUAUAUUUUGUAAUGACACUAUGAUAUUGUUAUGCUAAUCUUAAAUAUUUGGUCAUUUGAUUUGUU